rnacentral:rRNA from 1 species
UUGGCGGACGGGUGAGUAACGCGUGGGUAACCUGCCUUACACAGGGGGAUAACACUUAGAAAUAGGUGCUAAUACCGCAUGAGCGCACAGGACCGCAUGGUCGAGUGUGAAAAACUGAGGUGGUGUAAGAUGGACCCGCGUCUGAUUAGCUAGUUGGUGAGGUAACGGCCCCACCAAGGCGACGAUCAGUAGCCGGCCUGAGAGGGUGGACGGCCACAUUGGGACUGAGACACGGCCCAAACUCCUACGGAAGGCAGCAG